rnacentral:piRNA from 1 species
UGGUCUGUAUUGGAAAUUCAAUCUUUUCAA